GCUGGCGGCGUGCUUAACACAUGCAAGUCGAACGAUGAUGCUUCAGCUUGCUGAAGCGGAUUAGUGGCGAACGGGUGAGUAUCACGUGAGCAACCUGCCCUUGACUCUGGGAUAAGCCUGGGAAACUGGGUCUAAUACCGGAUAUGACCAUUCAUCGCAUGGUGAAUGGUGGAAAGCUUUUGCGGUCUUGGAUGGGCUCGCGGCCUAUCAGCUAGACGGUGGGGUAGUGGCCCACCGUGGCGAUGACGGGUAGCCGGCCUGAGAGGGUGACCGGCCACACUGGGACUGAGACACGGCCCAGACUCCUACGGGAGGCAGCAGUGGGGAAUAUUGCACAAUGGGCGAAAGCCUGAUGCAGCGACGCCGCGUGCGGGAUGACGGCCUUCGGGUUGUAAACCGCUUUCAGCAGGGAACAAGGGGUUCGCCUUGAGGGUACCUGCAGAAGAAGCGCCGGCUAACUACGUGCCAGCAGCCGCGGUAAUACGUAGGGCGCGAGCGUUAUCCGGAAUUAUUGGGCGUAAAGAGCUCGUAGGCGGUUUGUCGCGUCUGCUGUGAAAGCCCGGGGCUUAAACCCCGGGUGUGCAGUGGGUACGGGCAGACUAGAGUGCAGUAGGGGAGACUGGAAUUCCUUGGUGUAGCGGUGAAAUGCGCAGAUAUCAGGAGGAACACCGAUGGCGAAGGCAGGUCUCUGGGCUGUUACUGACGCUGAGGAGCGAAAGCAUGGGGAGCGAACAGGAUUAGAUACCCUGGUAGUCCAUGCCGUAAACGUUGGGCACUAGGUGUGGGGGACAUUCCACGUUUUCCGCGCCGUAGCUAACGCAUUAAGUGCCCCGCCUGGGGAGUACGGCCGCAAGGCUAAAACUCAAAGGAAUUGACGGGGGCCCGCACAAGCGGCGGAGCAUGCGGAUUAUUUGGAUCCACCGCGAAGAACCUUACCAAGGCUUGACAUGGACCGGAUCGCCCUAGAGAUAGGGUUUCCCUUCGGGGCUGGUUCACAGGUGGUGCAUGGUUGUCGUCAGCUCGUGUCGUGAGAUGUUGGGGUUAAAACCCCGCAACAAGCGCAACCCUUGUCCUAUGUUGCCAGCACGUAAUGGUGGGGACUCAUGGGAGACUGCCGGGGUCAACUCGGAGGAAGGUGGGGAUGACGUCAAAUCAUCAUGCCCCUUAUGUCUUGGGCUUCACGCAUGCUACAAUGGCCGGUACAGUGGGUUGCGAUACUGUGAGGUGGAGCUAAUCCCUAAAAGCCCGGUCUCAGUUCGGAUCGAAGUCUGCAACUCGACUUCGUGAAGUUGGAGUCGCUAGUAAUCGCAGAUCAGCAACGCUGCGGUGAAUACGUUCCCGGGCCUUGUACACACCGCCCGUCAAGUCACGAAAGUUGGUAACACCCGAAGCCCACGGCCCAACCGGUUUUCCGGAGGGAGUGGUCGAAGGUGGGACUGGCGAUUGGGAGGAAGUCG
rnacentral:rRNA from 1 species